AGCGAGUCAGACUGGUUCCUACUGUGUCGGGCGUGCACCCAUCACCCCAUUUAUCUCCUCCACAUCUCCCUGACCAGCACUGUGGCUCCCAUGAAGGAAAUUGAGUCUCAGCCAUGAGGGGUAGGGCCAGGGACCAACCCAGAUGUGCUGGUGGACGGACAGCCAUGUGACCGCGAGGCUGUGGCGGCCUGCCAGGUGGGCGACCCCGUGCGCCUGGAGGUGCGGCUGACCAACCGGAGCCCGCGCAGCGUAGGGCCCUUCGCCCUCACUGUGGUCCCCUUCCAGGACCACCAGAACGGCGUGCACAACUACGACCUGCACGACACCGUCUCCUUCGUGGGCUCCAGCACCUUCUACCUCGACGCGGUGCAGCCGUCCGGCCAGUCGGCCUGCCUCGGGGCCCUCCUCUUCCUCUACACGGGAGACUUCUUCCUCCACAUCCGGUUCCACGAGGACAGCACCAGCAAGGAGCUGCCACCCUCUUGGUUCUGCCUGCCCAGUGUGCACGUGUGUGCCCUGGAGGCGCAGGCCUGAGCCCGCCUACUUCCGUC
rnacentral:lncRNA from 1 species